CUUUGUCGUCUCGCUGAAGCUCAUACAGCCUGAUCCAACCUCAGAGCCUCUGCCGCGAUCUGUAAUGAACACAAAUUCCCAUACAGGCUUUUCAAUUGGCCUCCUGGGGUCCCAGAGCCCACAUUACAGGCAUCGUGGGGUUCCAACCCGAGCCCAGAGUUUAAAAGCAGAGUUGAGCCUCACUCACGCUCUCAGAUGCUUGAGAGAAACACCCCUCCCAGCCGGCAGCGCAGGGUACAGAGGACGCUUUAAAAGUCGCCUUAACAUCUCCUCUGGAAGGAAGGCCCUUGUCUGACGAGACAUUAAGCCAUUUGAAAUGUGGCUUUUCUUUUUUUUUUUUUUUUUUUUAAUUUUAUUCCUUUGUGUGAAGCCCUGUUAGAUGUGAUCAAGUGUGAAAAGAAGCGGGACACGGUUCAAGUAAAUGAAGCAGCUCACCAGGAGUCCCCAUCCCUGCCAACAAACCCUGCCGGAGCCUGACAGAUGCCAGUCUAACACGGGUCCCCCCGCUGCAGGCAUCAGCCGUUAAUCCCACCUUGGAGUGUACGAGGCCUGCCAGCCCCAAGGACGUAGCUUUCCAUCCAGAUCCAGAGCCGAGUCGGGAGCCUUGGACAGCAGGGGCUUCAAAUUUGGGAGAUGCCCACUGUCCUGAGGGGUCUUCACAGCGUGGACACUCGGUGGAGAGCGGGUUCACUGUGCCAUGCUGGUCUCUCCCAGCAGGCCUCUUCUCCCCUCCGAUCUUCUACCCUCUCUGUCCAUUUCCUGACUGUGGAAGGAGGAUGUUUAAGCAGCGCAGGAAGGUCCCUAGGCAGCACAGCAGGGUAGAUGUUGUCCCCAGAGCAUGCUUCAUGAACACCAGUCUGGCUCUCCUCAUCCCCACUGAGCUCUGUGACAACCGCAGCCUCAGCUCCGCCUGUUCCGAAAACUCCAGAGAGCAUUGGGACCACCGGAGGAGGGCUUCUUGAAGCUCCAGCUAGGCCCCCGGGUUCCCAUGUAGCAGGCCCAGAGCCCAUUACUGACAGGCCCAGAGGAACAGAGGAGGCUGGGAGCUGAGAGGACCAGGACUCUUCAUCAUGUUCACCUGAAGAUGGGGCCCUGUGACCUGGGUCUUCUAGCAUCUCAUUGGUACCCUCUUCUAUGUGAGAGCCUGUGGCAUGUGUCCUCACCCCAUCCCCGUCCCCUGUGCCUGGUUCACAAGUCUCCAGCCUUGCUGUUCCUCCCCUCCAGGGAUUGCCAGGAUCUCCUCUCCCACAGCCUCUGCACAGAGGUUGCCCUCUGCUCACGCUGGUCUCUCCAGGGCUCACUAACCCUCUCAGAUGGACCCUCCAUGACUACUCACACAACCUCCACCACCAUCUCUCCUGACGUUUAGAUCACUCCUCACUUCCCAAAGGUCCUGCAACUGUGUUCCAUGGCCAUUACAGCUUGUCGCUCAGCAUAGACAGUAACUGGCAGGGACAUUAUUUGGCUCCCUCCUGUCUCAGCACCCAGAGCAAAGCCUGGCAGCCCAGGGCACUGUGAAAACCAUCUGUCGAUGUCACAGGAGCAGAGAUGAUGUCCCAGACUCCAGACCUCCCUCCCCAGGCACGGCAACAUCUUGGUGCCUGCCUCUCCUGCUCCUUCACUCUUGCCAGAAACUUUCAACUGGGAGAGAGAGGGAUUUUCAGGUCCAGCCCCAUGGCACCCUGCAAAGCUGUGCCUGGCUGCUCUUUUUCCUCUUCUCUGGCUCUCAGCAGGAGACAGCACUCUGCUGCUUUCAUUUCAUCCAUUAUGAUGGGAAAAAAAUGAAAAUGAAAGAAAUGCUCUUAGAACACCCCGAGGAGGUGGCGGCUGCUUGCAGUAAAGGGGACUCCAUUCAGGGUCUUCACUGUCAUCAAUUAUUGACCAAGUCCUGACUGUGCUUCUGGCGCCAAGGCAAGGACAACACAGGGUCCCUGCCACGGGGCUCCCCAUGGAGGGCUCCAAGUCUGCCCGUCCCCUUGGGCAGACAGCAUCUCCCUCAGACACCUCUGCUCUUCUCUUAGUACUCUUACUUUAAUGUUACUCACCUGGUGCCUGGUUUUAAAGGCAACAGAGCUGAGACAGUAUUUCUCAAAGAUAAAGAAAAAUUACCUCCAUCUCCAAUAUUUUUAAUGCACAAAUAAAAGUCU